rnacentral:rRNA from 1 species
UACGUAGGGUGCAAGCGUUGUCCGGAAUUAUUGGGCGUAAAGAGCUCGUAGGCGGUUUGUCGCGUCUGCUGUGAAAACGCGAGGCUCAACCUCGCGCCUGCAGUGGGUACGGGCAGACUAGAGUGCGGUAGGGGAGAAUGGAACUCCUGGUGUAGCGGUGGAAUGCGCAGAUAUCAGGAAGAACACCGAUGGCGAAGGCAGUUCUCUGGGCCGUAACUGACGCUGAGGAGCGAAAGCGUGGGGAGCGAACAGG